GCCUACGGCCAUACCACGUUGAACACACCGGUUCUCUCGUCCGAUCACCGAAGUUAAGCCAACGUCGGGCCUGGUUAGUACUUGGAUGGGUGACCGCCUGGGAACACUGGGUGCUGUAGGCA